rnacentral:rRNA from 1 species
UAGGGAAUCUUCGGCAAUGGACGAAAGUCUGACCGAGCAACGCCGCGUGAGUGAAGAAGGUUUUCGGAUCGUAAAACUCUGUUGGUAGAGAAGAGCGUUGGUGAGAGUGGAAAGCUCAUCAAGUGACGGUAACUACCCAGAAAGGGACGGCUAACUACGUGCCAG